UCGAGGAUCUUCGGCAAUGGGCGCAAGCCUGACCGAGCGACGCCGCGUGUGCGAUGAAGGCCUUCGGGUUGUAAAGCACUGUCGAGGGGGAGGAAAGCCGCAAGGCCUGACCUAACCCUGGAGGAAGCACGGGCUAAGUUCGUGCCAGCAGCCGCGGUAAGACGAACCGUGCGAACGUUGUUCGGAAUCACUGGGCUUAAAGGGCGCGUAGGCGGCUGUGCAAGUCAGGGGUGAAAUCUUUCGGCUUAACCGGAAAAGUGCCUCUGAUACUGCGCAGCUCGAGGGAGGUAGGGGCAGACGGAACUUCCGGUGGAGCGGUGAAAUGCGUUGAUAUCGGAAGGAACGCCGGUGGCGAAAGCGGUCUGCUGGCCCUCUUCUGACGCUGAGGCGCGAAAGCCAGGGGAGCAAACGGGAUUAGAUACCCCCGUAGUCC
rnacentral:rRNA from 1 species